GAGGCGGGAGCGGCGCAGGCAGCGAGCGGGAGGCAGAGAAUAAAGAGCGGGUGCGCGGAGGGCCGCGCCUCGGCUCCGUCGCCCUCGCCGGGGCUGGGGCGGCCCUGUACACACUAGCCUGUCUGAGCUCCUCCACUGGGAAGGCUGAGGAUAUCCCGAGUCAGGACGGCCCCAAGUCCCCCUCUUUUUGGUCAGGCCCUGCCCGUCUCCAAGAGGAAAGGAGAGCUGGGGGAUCCAGGGAGCCACCCAAGUGUGGACAGUGCGUG